rnacentral:rRNA from 1 species
AAUGAACGCUGGCGGCAGGCCUAACACAUGCAAGUCGAACGGACCUUGCGAGCGGAACCCUUCGGGGGGAAGCUUGCGCAGGUUAGUGGCGGACGGGUGAGUAACACGUGAGCAACCUGCCUUUCAGAGGGGGAUAACAUUCCGAAAGGGAUGCUAAUACCGCAUAAUGUUGUGGAGUCGCAUGGCUCUAUGACCAAAGAUUUAUCGCUGAGAGAUGGGCUCGCGGCCGAUUAGGUAGUUGGAGAGGUAACGGCUCCCCAAGCCGACGAUCGGUAGCCGGACUGAGAGGUUGAACGGCCACAUUGGGACUGAGACACGGCCCAGACUCCUACGGGAGGCAGCAGUGGGGAAUAUUGCACAAUGGGGGAAACCCUGAUGCAGCGACGCCGCGUGAGUGAAGACGGCCUUCGGGUUGUAAACUUCUUUUAUGUGGGAAUAAAAAAGGGAACGUGUUCCCUAUUGCAUGUACCACUAUGAAUAAGCAUCGGCUAACUCCGUGCCAGCAGCCGCGGUA